AGAGGCUUGUCCCAAGGAAGCUGACACAGCGCUGCCGGUCCGGCUGAGAGGUCAGGGCGGACAGAGUGCUGCCACCCAGGACCCCUCCUCUCAGACCUCUCAGGAGCCCUCUGGGGACAUACCGAGGGUGACACAAAGAGGAGGAAGGUGACAGCUGUUUGCAGGGAUAACGCCAAACCCUCAACCACCAGGCCACCAGGGAACUCCUGCCCACUGCUUACAAGUUGCAGGCAGCAGCUGAUGUUUCUCUAGAGGUGGACUUGGGUCAGCCUGGAGGUGGAGCUGUGUCACCCUCAAGGCCAAGUUCUGCUAAAGCUCCGUCCGAGUCUUGCUUUGGGGAUUCACAGGAGGGAUCCAGUUCUGAGCUUCCCAGCCUGGAAAGAGUGGCUACAGCCAGAAGGUAACUGCAGGUGGGGCAACGGGACUAGAACCUGAUCCUUGGGGUGGGAAUCUUCAGGCCU
rnacentral:lncRNA from 1 species